AUGAAGACCCGCGCCGGGGUCUGCUUAGCUGCAUCGCUCGCAGGCCCUCUUCUCUCCUGCACCUUGUCCCCGAUGUCGGCAAGCCACCACCGUGCCCCGCGACCCCUCCCGCAAGCUAUCGUUGUCGCUGCUCUGCUUCAGGUCGAGCAGAAGAGGACGCUCACGCCCCUGCCUCACCAUGGUACCCGCCGGAUCCCGUCCUCUCCGCCAACCACAUGUCGCUGGAGGUCGCCUCCGCACCAAGUUCACCAUUGCCCAGCUCGAUCCCCUGCUCGUGUUGGCCUCCUGCCGCUCCCCACAACGACCUCGCCAUGCCUCCUGCCCCGUCGGCCAUCUCUGUCGUCCUCGCCCUGGACCCGGCCGAAGCUCGCCUUCCGGCUCUGGAUCUGCACCUCCCGUGUCCAUUCUCGGCACCGCGGGACCGCUGCUUCGUCAUCCACCACUGCUGUAGUGGCCACCAUGGACGCCUCUUGCCCAAGCUCUUCCUCCUGUGGGGUGUAG
rnacentral:rRNA from 1 species